rnacentral:lncRNA from 1 species
AAAAAUAUAAAAAUCAAGAAAAAGACAUUAAAUAACCUGAAAAAUUCUCAAAUCGACCAGUCACCUUAGAAUAUCGAUACGCAUAAAAUAUUAAAACUUCACUCUUUUUCGUAAAUCACCCGAAAAAUAUGAAAACAUUUAAUUCGUAAACGUCCGAAAAAUAUAAAAAUCAAGAAAAAAACAUAAAAUCACCUCGAAAAAUUCCUGAAUCACACC